rnacentral:lncRNA from 1 species
GGUUGCUUAACGACCAGUUACAAAUAUUACACUCUACCCUCCAUGUUUUUGUCCAUCUGAUGAGUUAAGCCUAUUUAAACUGAUUCUUAUAGUUCGUUUUUAUGUUGUACAUGUACUUUUAUACCACUGACCGAGACUAGGGGAGGAUAGGGAGCCCGCUAACAAUUUUAACCCCGCCACAUUAUUUAUGUAUGUGCCUGUCCCAAGUCAUGAGCCUGCAAUUCAGUAGUUGUCGUUUGUUUAUGUGUUACAUAUUUUUUUUCGUUCAUUUUUUUUGUUGUUAUAUAAAUAAGGCGGUUAGUUUUCUUGUUUGAAUUGUUUUACAUUAUCAUAUCGGGGCCUUUUAUAGCUGACCAUGCGGAUUUGGCAUUGCUCAUUGUUGAAGGCCGUACGGUGACCUAUAUUUGUUAAUGUCUCUGUCAUUUUGGUCUCUUGUGGACUGUUGUCUAAUUGGAAAUCAUACCACAUCUUCUUUUUUUAUAUUCCUGUGCUUUUAAAAUGCCCAUUAUAGACAUAUCAUGAUACAUUAAGCUUAACAUUUUAAUUUAUAAAUAUCAAAUAGCGAACAAUUUAUAUAUUUAUUCAAUAACGAC